CGCUGAGCUUGGCAAGGUCACCGUGAAUCGUGGCCUGAUGGGUAGAUCGAAGGAUUUGCUACAUCGUUGCACCUCGCUUCCUCCUUGCAACCAGCCGCCUUACCGGGCGUAACCAUCAAACGAGAGAGUUACAGGGAGUUGUCGAGAUGUCUGAUCGCGAAACCGGUACCGUCAAGUGGUUCAACGACGCCAAGGGCUUCGGCUUCAUCAGCCGUGAAAAUGGUGAGGACGUGUUCGUGCACUUCCGCGCCAUCCAGACCCAGGGCUUCAAAAGUCUGAAGGAAGGCCAGCAGGUCACCUUCACCGUCGUGCAGGGCCAGAAGGGCCUGCAGGCUGACGCCGUACAACCGGUCUGACCCGGCCGGCCGUCCAGCCAAAAAAAGGCCCGCGCAAGCGGGCCUUUUUUCA
rnacentral:other from 1 species